ACUAAAUAUAGUAAGAUAGGUGCCUACGGGCUUAAUAGGGAAGUUGGUGUAAAUCCAACACGGUCCCGCCGCUGUAAAGGGGAGCAAACCUGCAUGAUGUCACUGAAAUAAUAGUUUUGGGAAGGCGCAGGAAUGUUACGAUCCUAAGUCAGAAGAACUGCCUAUUUAAUAGUCACCGU
rnacentral:ncRNA from 2 species